rnacentral:lncRNA from 1 species
UGGUGGUAUAGUGGUUAGCAUAGCUGCCUUCCAAGCAGUUGACCCGGGUUCGAUUCCCGGCCAACGCAUGCGGUACCACUUUUGCGAGUUUGAAAUUUUCAUUUUAGUUUUGAGACGGAGUCUCGCUCGGUCCCCCAGGCUGGAGUGCAGUGGCGUGAUCUCCGCUCACUGCAACCACCACCUCCCAGGUUCAAACGAUUCUCCUGCCUCAGCCUCCCAAGUAGCUGUGAUUACAAGCGCACGCCACCACGCC